rnacentral:rRNA from 1 species
CUACGGGAGGCAGCAGUUAAGAAUCUUGCGCAAUGGACGAAAGUCUGACGCAGCGACGCCGCGUGAAGGAUGAAGGCUUUCGGGUUGUAAACUUCGGUAGACUGGGAAGAAAAAGUAUGUUCGUUGAGGGCAUGCAUUGACGGUACCAGUCUGAAGCCCCGGCUAAUUACGUGCCAGCAGCCGCGGUAAUACGUAUGGGGCAAGCGUUGUUCGGAAUUAUUGGGCGUAAAGGGCUCGCAGGUGGUUUGUUAAGUUGGGGGUUUAAUCUCUGGGCUCAACCCAGAGUCAGCCUUCAAAACUGGCGAACUUGAGUACGAUAGGGGAUAGCGGAAUUCUCGGUGUAGCGGUGGAAUGCGUAAAUAUCGAGAGGAACACCAAUGGCGAAGGCAGCUAUCUGGAUCGUAACUGACACUCAUGAGCGAAAGUGCGGGGAGCAAACAGGAUUAGAAACCCGUGUAGUCC